CGUAGCCGCGGGAAUACGAAGGGGGCUAGCGUUGCUCGGAAUGACUGGGCGUAAAGGGCGCGUAGGCGGCAUAUACAGUCAGGCGUGAAAUUCCCGGGCUUAACCUGGGGGCUGCGUUCGAUACGUAUGGGCUAGAGUGGGGAAGAGGGUCGUGGAAUUCCCAGUGUAGAGGUGAAAUUCGUAGAUAUUGGGAAGAACACCGGUGGCGAAGGCGGCGACCUGGUCCUUGACUGACGCUGAGGCGCGAAAGCGUGGGGAGCAAACAGGAUUAGAUACCCCCGUAGUCCCUGUCUCUUAUACA
rnacentral:rRNA from 1 species